UAUCCGCCUCUACAUUACAGGAUAACCGGGUUGUCGGGUGUAAAGACUAGCCUAACGGGAGCCCUGUAACCACACGUGAAGUUGACAUCUCUGUCUGAAAUGGACAAAAAGAAAAGAAGAAAAUAAAUUCAAUGUCCAUCAAUGGACCUAGGAUCAUAAUUUAAAACCACCAGAGAAGAUGGGUACUAACACUGCUGUACAGCCAGGAAUACAGUAUUACAGGCACAGGGAGAAAGGGAGAACUUCAACUACGCCUGGAUCAACGUGUUAUGCCCAGAGGGACGCCAGGCAGAAAGCUGAUUGGCCACACAUACUUAGUCUGUUUGUAUCUGUUGAGUCCUUUCGUUCUUUGCUUUAAAGGAAAUUAUUUUCUCUCUGAGUCUAAUCUGUAGAAUAGCAUAUCAGGGUGGUAGAGAAAA